AAUACCUACACAUGUACAACUUAACCACCCCGACAACCCUCUCUGAUGAUGACCCUGGCUGACAGAUUAUCCAAAUCUUAGAGAGCCUUCAGAUUCCAUAUCCUUUAAAAUGGUCAGCUUCAUGUCUACCCAGUAGCAUUUUGGCAAGUUCAAAAUUGCACCAGUCCCAAUUACAUGCCUACAGGCUAUCCUCACACAGCUGAGAACCACAUCCUGGCAACCCAUUCUUCACAACAAUUUGUGGCUCGAAAAAACCUGUCUUUAGGCAGUGCAUGAUCUAUGAAUAAACCAUGCACUUGAAAUUUUGCAGAUUUGCUCUCAGCCGAAAGAACAAGCAAACCAAAAAGCCACAUCUGCAUACUAUAAAGCUUCCAGGGUAAUUGAUGCUUU
rnacentral:misc_RNA from 1 species